rnacentral:pre_miRNA from 1 species
CUUCCAAUCACCAGGGCUUCUUAUUAAAAUGCACAUUCUGAUUUAGGAGGUUGGAGUGGGGGCCUGAGAUUCUGCAUUUCUAACAAGCUCCCAGGUGAUGCUGAU